AGAAGGAUCCUGUUGCAGCAUUGUUCUUACUGUUCUUUGAAAGGCAUCAAGAACCUGGGAACACCCAGCCAGAGGAACCUGUAACACUCUGAGUAGGACCACUUAAUUCUGGAAGCUUCUUCCCUCUGCUGCAACCUUCAUCAACUUAAACCCACAGCUCAUCUCAGCUCUCUGAAGCCCCCCGUUACCUGUUCCUUUUUCCAGGGUGCACACAGGAAGCCAGGGAGCAGCUCCAAACCCAGCACAGGAACUGGCGCUCUCCAUCUGCUCUGUGAAUCAUUUCCCGCCCUGUUCUCCGCCACACUCUAAGACCCUACAUCAAGCUUCUACAUCAGCCUGUGCUUCAGCGUAAGUGACGCAAUUUCUCUCCAGCUGGGAGCGCUUGAAGAAGAUGUGUUUCUUUUGUGACUGCUCCCCUGCUUUGUUGUGGCUUCUGGUAAUUGACUCUCAUUGGAUCCUAAUUAGAGAGCCGACUUCAUCAUUUUCCAUCCUUUACUCAAAGUGGAAUCAAAAGAAUUUCUUUCCAGCAAACACAGCCUCUUCUUGCUUGAGCUUGCAGGGUUGUGUCAGAACUGGAGUCCUGAAACCCAGACCCCCUCUCUCCCAGUACAGCCCCACCACCCAGUCCCAGGGUGAGGUAUACAUUGUACCCCAUGACCUCAGCUCUGCGUUCAUCUCAGAUCUCACACUGGUCAUGAAGUUGCUGAAGCCCCUGGAGAUUCAGGAACCCAGUGUAGCCACCAACACAAGAGAGCUAGUGCUGGCCUCCGCUUUCCUGCCAGAUACUCCUGCUGGCCUGCACGGGCUCAACUGGGGUGGAAAAGGUAACUCCGAUCUCUUGGGGAUGAAGAAGUUGGGCCUUUCAAGUCCAAAACAUCUCCCCCGCUGUCACCAUGUGAAUUUACAUUUAUGUUUAUUCAGGAGAGACAGGAAAGUGUCCCUUGGGGAGGCCUGAUCCUUAACCUCUGCACCCUAAAUUCUGAGACCCACCAAGGCAGUUCCAUAUCAAAUCAGCAGCCUUUCUUGCUCACUGGAUGACAACACUCCUCAGGUCUCUUGCAGCUGUAGCCUGGACCCAAGUGUCUCGGCCUGCUAUAAGAGCCUGGCUGUAGUUAGAGUCUCUCUAGUGGAAUCUCAGGUGAGGAGAGGGGUCUUUGGGCAGGUAAGUGGGAUGCAGGCCUAUGCUACUAAAAUUGUUGUACAGGGGCAUCCUGAUAGUUGUUUUGUUUUGUUUUGUUU